CUUAAGGCCCUAGAGAUAGGAGAUAAUAAACACACACAGGUGGUGGCAUGGUUGUCGUCAGCUCGUGUCGUGAGAUGUUGGGUUAAGUCCCGCAACGAGCGCAACCCUUGUCUUUAGUUACCAUCAUUCAGUUGGGGACUCUAGAGAGACUGCCGGUGAUAAACCGGAGGAAGGUGGGGAUGACGUCAAAUCAUCAUGCCCCUUAUGGGUAGGGCUUCACACGUCAUACAAUGGUCGGUACAGAGGGUUGCCAAGCCGCGAGGCGGAGCCAAUCCCACAAAGCCGAUCGUAGUCCGGAUUGUUCUCUGCAACUCGAGAGCAUGAAGUCGGAAUCGCUAGUAAUCGCAGGUCAGCAUACUGCGGUGAAUACGUUCCCGGGUCUU
rnacentral:rRNA from 1 species